UUUUUUUUUUUUUUUUUUGUUAGACUUGACCUCGACAUUAUUCUCUCUAUAGACCCAUUUUAGUUAUGUGGGCUAAUUUUUUGACAAUAUGUUAUUUUGUGGCCUAGGCUUGCUUGCCAAUUGUGUUCAUAUUGAGUGUCCAUUAUGUACAUUAAUACAAAAUCAAUUACAACAAUACUCGUAUGGUUAUAUACUUUUCCUUAAAAUAGUUGCAAAAGUAGUGCCAAAAUCAGUUUCACAUGAGAUCACUGCACUAACUAACCUUAAGUAAAUUUUAUAUUAACUAAAAUAUUUUUGUUACCAAAAAUUAAUAGUAUCAUUCUAUGAAUGUGAACCUUUAUAUCAAUUUGAUUGAAUUAAUAAUUUUGAUUAAUAACUAUAAAAAUGACAAAUCAACGAAUGAUAUUAACUUAAUUUAAGGAAAAUUGUAUUAGAUGACAAAAAAAAAUGUAGAAAAAAACAACUUAUAACAUUUUUUUAUAUUGUAAAUUUGUCAAAUAUAACGAUAAUCAAAUGAUAAUUUGAUGUUAAUUUAUUUUUAAAUUUUUUAUUUUUGUAGUUUUGAAAAUGUGAGUAAUAUAAACUCUAUUAUCAUAAUUUUUUUGGUUGCUUUAACUGAAAAAGAAUGUCAAGAUACAGUCUACAUGUAACAACCAUCAAUUUAACUUUAAAUUAUAAGCAUAAGAAAAUGCAACUUGAAUUUCAAACUUCCAUUUAUUAAAUAGAUUGAUUAAUUGGACCACUUAGGUAACAAAGCUGCCAAAAAAUCUUGGCAAUAACAGCUAAUUAAUUAAAUUAGAUUACCAACAUAUGUGCUUUGAUUUCCACAAAGGGAAAUUUUGAAAUUGGGCUUUAACUAUUAUUUCAAUGCACCAACCCUCCUCCAAUAUUUUAUUUCAGUGUGAAUUCUAUUUGGUAUGUAUAAAUUAUUUAAACGUUUAUCAAGUUUUAAAAAUAAUUUAGGUAAACUAACAAAAUGUUGUAUAAAAUAGUAGUUCAAAUAUUUGAUGUGUUGAAGAUGAUGACUAUGAUAUGAGAGGAGUUUGUUUGUGUGGCGGCUAAAGUGGGUUUCUUUGAUAUGGAGUUGGAAAUUGACUCCUUACACAUGAUGCUAAGUUGCAAUAAAAGAAGGAAAUUAAAUUAUUAGUGAAAUCUCGAAAGUGGGUUUGAUCCUUAUAGAGAAGCAAAUAUGCAAGCUUUAUCAUUUUUAAACUUGUAUUUUUCAUCACUAACUCGUCCAACUAAUCAAGUUCAUUGAAUGUUGAAGACAAAAGUGUCAUUGAUUCAAAUGAAAGAAGUUACGGAAAAGAUUCCAUAACUUAUACAUGCAAUGCAAAUGUUGACAUAAUUGAUGUGAGGUUAGUUUGCUAUCUUUCAAUCCAAUUGUGACUCUUGGGGGAGUCAUCUUUCUUUCUAUAUAUGUUUAUUUUGGUUGUUUUGUUGUUCUUAAAACAAAGAACUAAAACAAAAUUAAUUUAACCUAUAUUUAUUUAUGCCCUAUUAAAAAAGAAUAUGAUAAAUUAGAACUUCCCCUAAUUUUAUAUUUAGAUAAAAUAUUGCAUUUAUUUAAUCUUUCCAAAAUUUGUCUUAAUUGUUUAUGUAAAAUUUAUUUUAGGAGACUUAUUAGAAACUUUUUUAUAUACAUAUAUAAUGUAUUAUAAAUAAACAUAGAGUCUCAAAGAGUUAAAAGUUAAUAUAUAAAAAUGUUUUAUUUCUAGACCGAAAAUAAAGAUGGAUUUGAAAAAAGAAAAUAUAAUUCCUCAAGUCAUUGGUUUAUACUUAGUGGCACUAAAAACAAUCACUAGACAAGUUGGACCAUGGUAUUUUUCAUGUGAUGAAUUUAAAAAACAAAUUUACUAUGGGGUGAAACUUCAAAAUCGAACAAGAUUGUUGAAUUACAUCCAAUCAAAAUACAUUACUAGACUAUUAUAUCCCACAUUAUAAAAAAAAAAUUGUCAUAAAAUAUAAUAUUUUUGAUUAAUAAAAUAACUAAUUUUAAAAAUCAAACAAGAGAGAAUGUAUUAGAAAGGAAGAGAUAGUUUUGAUAUUAAAUGAAAUUGUAGUGGAGAGAGAUUAUUUGUGUUGUUUCUCACCUUUUCUUUUCCCUCUCUUCCACCCUAUAAAUGCAAUCUCUCUUCCCAACGCCAUUUUUACCAUUUUUAAUUCCUUCCUCCAAUAACACAACGAAACACAGACUUUUCCUUUCUUUUCAUUUUCUUCAAAUCUCUGAAAACAGAGAGAGCAAUAAAUUAAUAACAAUGUCGAGGACUAUUGAAGAAGAAGAAGAUCCUCGCAUCAAUGGCAUCCGAACCAAAAUUCGAGUGGUUCCUAAUUUUCCAAAACCAGGUUCGUUCUUCUCUAAUCAAAUCUCUUCGUCCUUACCUUUUUUAUCCUCUCUCUCAAUUCCAAUAUCCUUUUAAUAUAUUCUCCAUUUUCGAUUCGCAAAUUUUAGGUAUACUGUUUCAGGACAUCACAACUCUGUUACUUGAACCUAAAGCGUUCAAGGAUACCAUUGAUUUGUUCGUUGAACGAUACAAGGGCAAAAACAUCUCCGUCGUUGCAGGUACAAGAAAAUCGCACCCAAAUUCUCCAAUCUCUGGUUCUUGAUUCCUAUAUAUGAGCGUUUAAUUACAACUUGAUUGAUUGAUUGUUCAUCGUGAAUUUGCAAAAUGUGGAUUUUUCACGCUCACGCCUUGAUUAACGGACGAUGAUUUUGUUAUGCCUUUCUCUAUUUCUUCCCUCCAACUUUUGUCCAAUGAUUCAAGAUGUUCAUCUUUUUUCUUUCCUUUUUUUGGAAAAUUUUAUUUUUUAUUUUACAAUUUUAAAAGUUUGUUUAUUUUUUUAAUCAAAUCGGUUUUUUUUUAAUUAUUAUAAUUACAUUAAUUUUUGUGUAAUCGACCUAAGAACCCAAUGGUAAACUAUGACAUGUGAGGUUAAAAUAUAUUUUUACUUUCUUAUAUCAAAGGAAAUGUAUUUAAAUGGAUGCAAACUUUAGUUGUAAUAAAGUUUUAUUUGAAAUGUUAUUUUAAAUGACAAUUUUUAAAAAUAUUGUAGAUAAAUUGUAAUAUUUCAUAUUUUAGUUAAUUUUGAUAGUCUUAAUUUAAAAUUAUUUUUACUUUUAUUUCGUUUGAUAUUCUGAAACAAAUUGUUUUAAAUUUUUGUCUGCAGAUAUGACCUAACUUUUUGCAUAACAAAAAUCAUUAUGGAAAGGACCAAAUAUCAAUUAACCUUUAAUUUACUAUACAAUUUUUUUUUUUCUUUUUUUCAUUUUGAAAAUACAUGGCCUAAAUUUUUACAUUUUCAUGAUACUAUAUUCCAGUUUUUUUUUCAGUAAUAUUUCAGACAAAUUAUGUCAUUUCACCUAAUUUCACUACUCAAUUUGAUCUUUGUCUUCAUGAUUAAUUAGUUUUCUUUUCUCUAACAUAUUUUGAAAUUAUAAACGUCAUACCUAAUGAAAACCAACCACAAAUUUUUCAAAUCCAAUUCUAUUAUUUUUGCCCCAUCAUAAUAAGAACAUUGCAUAUGUUCAAAGCUGUUGAAUAAUAGUGAUCCAUUAUAAGACUCAACUUCCAUUUUUAUUAAAGCUGAAGCAAGUUUGUUAUGUGUCUUACAAUUAAUUUCCACUUCACCAAACUUAGGACCAUUUUUUUUCUUUACAUGACUUGUUGGCACUCUUCCACUGCCUUUUGCUUGCUUUGGUUUUCCAACAUUGACCUAAAUUUUUAGAAUAAAGAGAUAUUACAUUUUUUUCUCGAAUUUGAUUGAUAAUCAUUUGGUGUUUUUAAUAGCUUUUUGAAAGGACUUAUAAACAACAACCUUUUAACAUGAUUUGAAUUUUGAAAAUAUUCUUUGUAAUGUAAAAUGCUUAAACAAAGAAAUGGUUACGUAGUACUUUUGUUGACUUUAGAUAGCAUAAUUUCUAGGCAGAUUUAAGCCACUAUGUCCCAACGUUUUUAUUUUUGUGUGGUCGGGAGGAAAAGGAAAAUAUACAUCUUGAAAUUCUUAUAGCUAGGGUUGUUUAAGGAGCCAUAAUGAAUGAGUUUGUAAUCAUGUAAUGUAAUCCAAAAUUUAUGUUUAAACCGAAAAGUUUGGGUCUUAUUUGUAAUCCAAACUCAUUCAAUUUUCAAUGUAACUCUUUUUUUUUUUACUAUUUUCACGCUUCACAAUUAUGUAUCAAUUAUGUUCUCUUUUUCAAUUUAAUCAUGAUUACAUUAAGUCCUCCAAAUAGUCUCGUAUACCGAUUAGAAUUGGUUCUAAGUUUAAAUUCAGUAAGUUUGAAAAAAACGAAAUAAUAAUCAAAUAGGCAUUUAUCCCUCGUAUAUUCGCUGACUUUCAUUUUGCAACACCAUAUAUUUAGUCAUCAACAGUUAGGUCGCUCUUGACUCUAAUGAUGUGAAAUUUAGGUUUAUUAGACUAAUGUAGAUUGAAUUUCCUAAUUUGGAGUCUUAAAUGGGAUAAGGUUGUUGUAUAGUUGAAAUACAAUCAAAUGUGAUUGAUGUAUGAUUAAUUAUGAUUGAACAGCUUAUUUUAUUGACGAAAAACUGUUGAAAUUCAAUCAACAUAUGAGCAUGGUCCUCUAUAGGAAUUAAAGGCUUGAAAGUCAAAAUAAUUAUUUGUCCUGUUUUAAUUUUUAUAUAUAUGUUAAAUAGUAUAUAAUUAGUCAAGCGUUUCUUUCACACAUUGAUGAUGGUAUAUAUGGUUGAAAUAUGUUUGUUUGCUUGUAUAUUUUUCAGGAAUUGAGGCUAGAGGGUUUAUUUUUGGUCCUCCAAUUGCUUUGGCUAUUGGAGCCAAGUUUGUGCCCUUGAGAAAACCAAAGAAAUUACCUGGUAAUAUCUUCAAUCCUAUAAAAUGAUAAUACAUUAUCCUAAUUAAACUAGUAUUAUUAGCCCUAAAUCACAACUCAUUUUAUGUUUAUCUAUUAACGUAUAUAGUUGAAAAUUUAAUACCUUGUUUAUAUCCUUCACAAUCAAUAGAAAAUUGACAUAAAUAUUUACAUAACUCAUUAACAAUUUAUUAUUUAAAAGGAAAUAUAUAUCAAGUCAUUGAUUCAAAUGCACUAAUAGAAAGUUAGAGAAAUUAUACAAUCCUGACUAAUAGAAAGUUAGAGAAAUUAUACAAUCCUGCCUUCUUAAUAUCUUGAAGUCAUGAUGAUAAGUAAUGUAAAUAAGAUAAAUAGAUUCAACUUAGAUAUGAAGAUAUGAUACUCCUCUAAACUAUGGGUUAUUCAAAGGGGUUGGGUAACUGAUUCAAAACGUUCUAAUACUUAAAUAAUCUGAUUUAAAGUAGUACAUAUGAAUUAUUGUUUUCUGAGGUCAUUGUUGCCAAUUUUUUCUUUUAAUUUUUCCUAUUGAUUUGCUUUUCAUUCCAUCGCAUGCCUUGUUUUUCUCUUCUUUUUAGUCUCUCCCUAACAUGCAAGACCCUACAUACUCUCUCUCUCUUGCAUGAUCUUGACCCUAAACCAUUUUCCCAUUCUCUCUUUUCUCUCUCCUACAUGCAACCACUCCCUUCUCUCUCCUACAUGCAAGGCUCUGCCCAUUCCUUAUUCACCUUCUUUCAUGCAAAUCCCAAACCUCUCUUUUACCCAUCACCCAAAAGUACUAAAAAAAAAUGUGAAUUCUUCCCUUUAUAUACCCCUCUAACCCUACUACCAUUUAUGGAUUUGGUCACUCAAUUUUGUAUUUUGUUCUAUUUCGAUGGUUAAAAUUUUUAAAAUAUCUGUUUUAGUAUUUAAAACUUUUAGAAAAAAACUUACUUUCAUUGUUGUCCAUUAGAUCUUCACAAAAUCUUCCUAAUUUAUUCUACAAAUCUUUUGUGCCAACACAAAAACAUAAUCAAUACACUUUUGAAUAAAAUAAAUCACAAAACUAAUUAGUUUUUUUUUCAAAUCUCAACUUUUUCAUGUUCUCUUUCCUAUUUCCUGCUUCCCCAUUCCUUGAUUUUUUUAAAAAAAGAAUUUUAAAUUGAAAUCUUGAAGCAAAUAAAAAAAUUGAAUAAUAUUUUUAAAAAAUAUAACCUAAUGGUGUUAACAUCUCUAACAAGAUAGAAAAGACUAAAAAUAAUCAUACUAAAAAUAAUCAAAUAAGAACAACUUACAUGGAAAAUAAAUAUUAUGAAAUUACAAAUAAAUAUUCUCAUGAUAAAUCAACUUAAUUAAUAUGAUAAAUGUAGAGGCUAAUCUACAUUUCAUUAAAAGUUUAAUUAAUUAAAAAUUUGAAGACUAAAACAAAACUUUAACACAAAACAAGUUACAAAAUAUAGAAUUUAUAGCUGAAAUAUGUAUUUAAUAUUAUGAUAAAAAGCUAAAUUAUUGAUAAUAAUUUUUUAAAAUAAAUAAAAUAGAAUAUAAAACGUUUUAUAAGGAACAGCAACAUUAGGUCUAAUAAGAAAGACAAGACAAUUGCAUUUUGAAAAAGGAAAAGGAAAGAAAACUACAAGGCAAGUGGGAAUAUCACAUUGGUUGCCUUUUGUAACUUAUAAAUGUAGAAGAAGCAGAUCAUGUGAUAUGCUUCCCUAAAAACAGUAAACUAUAAUAAUAUUAUACUUUUUAUAAAGAAAAAAAAUAUUAAACACUUAGUUAUUCUAAAAAUACAUAUGAAUUAAAAUUUGUUUACUAUUUAUAUUUUAUAUUGAAAAUUUGUUGUAAACUGUACAAGUAUUAAAAUUAUUUAUUAAGAUAUACUCUAUAGGAUAGAAUCUAAACCUCGGUUAUAUUUUAUAAAUAUUUUGAUUUAUUGGAUUAUAUUUAAAAAUGUCUCUAUUAUAUUUACAUUAACAUAUGUGGUAUCAUUGAUUUUUUCUAAUAAAAUAUAAAAAUGUUUGAAAUUAUUUGAAUAGAACACAUGAAACAAAUUAUUGAAAAUGGGAGGGGUUUGUCUUUUUUUAGAUUAGUUAUAAUGAGUAAAAAAUUUAAAAAUAAUAAUCAAGUAAGUGUAUAACAACGUUAUAAUAAAAUUAAAAAUAUAUUAAAGUUUAUCCACGAUGAACCAAUAUUUAUAAUAUAGUCGAUCAAGUAAUAAGUUUUUAUUAUCGAUUAACUUGGAUAGAUUUUGCUAUAUAUAUAUUAAUACUUUAAAUGUAAUAAUUAGAUUUGUGGGGGUUGGUUUAGGUGAAGUAAUGCAUGAAGAGUACGUUUUGGAAUAUGGAAGAGAUUGCAUAGAAAUGCAUGUUGGGGCUGUUGAGGCUGGGGAACGUGCUUUGGUUGUUGAUGACUUGAUUGCCACUGGUGGUACUCUCUCUGCAGCCAUCAAUUUACUUGGUAUUUACUACUAUUAUAAUUCCCUCCAAAUAUUCAUCUUUUUAUUUCUUGAAAAGUUAUAAAUAAUCUAUUUUUCUCCGAGUAAUAAAGUUCAUUGAAAAAAAAUUAAUUAUGAAAAGAUGUAGUAGAUAGAAUGGUAUAACGGAUAGUGUUUCGUAUAAAUGUUAAUAUUUUUUUUCUUAAACUUUGAGUUCGUUUUUUAAUAUAUUGAAGUUAUUUUUGAUUUUUUUCUUUUUUGGAAAUUGAGUCUACACACAUUUUUUAAAAUUAUUUUAAAGUUUCUUGUUUCGUUAUAUAUUCUUUUAACAUUUUAAUUAGUAUAAUUCUCAAGAUUUACUGGUAUUAAUUGAUAUUGUUAAAAUAUUUAACGAGUUUUUCAAACUUUAAAUUUUACUUUUAUAAAUCACAUAGCUGAGAUGUCAUUGACUUGUUUGAUAUUCUUUAUAAGUACUUUUAAAACUGAAUGGAUAUGUUAGAAUUUAAUCUAUACUUUAAACUUAAAGUUUAAUAAGAAUAGUUAGAACUGAGUUUUUUUAAAAAAGAAAAACAAACUAUUUUUGUAUAAAAUAAAUUACUAAAAGACAAUUAAUUACAUUCUAAUAAGGGUAAAUAUUUUUGUGAAUUUUUCUAUUUUGACCAUUUUCGUUUAUGUUAUUUAAGUUUGCCAUUUUUAUGAUUGGUAAUUGUCAACCAAAUGUUUUGUGUAGAACGAGCGGGAGCCGAAGUGGUUGAAUGUGCUUGUGUAAUUGAAUUACCAGAGUUGAAGGUAAGCCCAAUGCUUUAACCCAUUUGGAUUGAUUUAAAAAAUGAUUUAUUUAAAAUAAUAAUUACAAUCGACAAUAAUUUUGUAGAUAAUAAUCAAAUGUAUAGCAAUAUUUUAAAAAAAAUUGCAGAAAUAAUUUAUGGUUGUUAGGCUUUUAUGGUCUAUUGUUGAUAUACCAGAUCUAUCAUAGAAUAUGAUAUUUGUAGUUUUUUUAAUAUAUGCUUUGAAUCUAAUUGCUUAAAUAAACUCAUUUUUAUUUAGACAAUUAGGAUAAAAACUGAUUAUAAUACAUUUCAAAAACUACUUUGAAUGGUUAUAAAACACUUUAUUUUUUUUCUAAAUGAGUUGGUUUUUAAAUCGAACACUUGAAAAUGUAUUUCAAACGCAUUCUUCAAUUUCAAAUAUAUAUUACCAUAUCACCAAUAAAGCUCUUCUUACUCGAUAAUUUACUGUAACUUUGAUUGGUUAUCGACAUUUCAAUUUGUGAUUAAUUUUUGGUAAAUGAUAACAAGGGUUUGAAAGCUAUUUCGUUUAAUUUUCAAAAUUUGACCUAUCUUCUGAAAACACUAAUAAAAGUAUACAAUAAAAACAAAUAAAUCAACAAGUACAAAGUUGUAUAGGUAAGUUUAAUUUUUCUAAUUAAAAAACAGAAACCUAAUAUCUCUUAUAUUUUAAUUUUCUUUUAAGAACUUACCAAUGUGUUUUUUAAUAAACAAACUUAAAGGUAUUCAAAUGUAUAUGUAUUUGUUAAGAUAAUCAUAUUUACACUGUAUGGUUGGUAACUUAUUAGUGAUAUGUCUGUAUUACCAAUAGUUUUUAAAAUCGUAACAAAUUAUUUUAGGUUGUAUUAUAUCUACAAAUAGUUUUGACAUAAUUGGUAUAUGUACGUGUAUAAACUGCUCCUAAAAAAUGGAACAAACUUUGUUGACAGGGUCGGGAGAGAUUAAGCGGGAAAUCAUUGUACAUUUUAGUGGAGUAUCGACGCGGUUAAGUUGCCGCAAUGAUCAUGAGGGUGUACGAAGAUAUGUGUACAUUGGAGGACUCCCCCUUCUUGCCAGAUUCAUUUUGAUCUCUCAUCUCACACAGUUUGUUUUUUCGUUCUUGUUCCUCAGCUUCUUGCUUUUGCUCUAUUUAAUCAUUGAAUUUUAUAUUUGGGAACUUUGAAGUUUCACAUGAAAAAGAAAAAGAGAGAUUUAUCUUUCGACCACCAUUCUUUCCUUGACUUACUUGAAGCUUUUUGCUUGGGGGCAUUUGCAGCAGAGAGUCCAAAUAUUGAAUAUGGUUUAUUUGUUGCUAAAGGUAUGAUUAGGGGGAAACAUUGUGACUUCAAAUAAUAUAUGUUUCUUGUGGUUUGUCUAGGAUGAAUGAGAGGUUUUUUUUGCAACAUAAAUAUUGAGGAGUAGUUCUUCAAGAGCAUUUUGAGUAUAAACGUACGAACUUGGAUUUGAGACAUGUCUUUAAAAUUAUUAAAAUUUCACUAAAGGAUGUCAGACGACAUUAAAUCUAGUUUAGUAUAGGAAUUUGGUUUGUUUCUUCAACUUUUUUUUUAAAAAAUUCAUACUAGAGGUCAGAGAGAUUAGUACCCGUACCUAGAUAUCUCAAUUAGGUUGAUAACUCCUUAAUUAGCACCAUUAUCAGUCAUCAUGUUUCAAUUCAAAAAUAUUUAUUGAUGAAUGUGGAGAAGAGCAACCUAGCUUAGUACAAGUCCUUGGUUUGUUGCUCUAUUUUUUUUUCUUUUUGAAAAAGAUAUGAUUGGACAAUAGUUGUAUAAAGACAUCUUCAUUAGGUGAACACCUUCUCAACACUAUCAUCAUUUCCGCUUCAUUAAUGAUAAGAAAAAGAAGUAAGGAAUCACAAAAAAAAAACUAGAGAGAAGCAAGAAGCAACUCGUGACUUUGUUGGUUCAUUUACGACGUGGCAAUUUCUACAUUUGUUGCAAGGUUUGAAUCUCAAAAUUAUUAGCAUAUGGUUAGAAUUGAUGUGAUGGUGAAUUGGGGUGAUGGUUAGGGUUUGGUUUGAAUUCCAAAUCCAAUUACACAAAAUAAAAUUACACUUUUUUUGUAGUUUUAAAUUUAUAUAUAUAUUAGUUGGUAACACGUGCUAUGCACAUUAACUUUUCAUUUUAUUUGACUAAAUAAAAAAAAAACUAAUUAUACCAAAAAAUAUGAAGCUUAUUUAUUUACUCGUGAUUUUUGAAAAUACAUUUUUCAACUUCAUUCUUUAUUUCUUGAGAGACGCCCAUUUCUUGAAAGACUUCUUACUCAAGAUUUAUGAUAUACGUGUGUAUAAAUUGAAUGAUCUAAAAGAUAUAAAGGAUUUAAUCAUAUAAAACAAUUUAUUCAAUCAGAUUUUAGAUCGAUAAGUGGUUUUUUUCUUUCAUAUGUUUCAAUUACAUAUUGAAUAUUUAAAUGGAUUGAAAUUUUGGAUAUAGACAUUGACUUGAUUAUUAUUUGAACAUUUGUGCCAAUUCUAUAUAUUUUAUGUAUUUCUACCAUAUUCAAAAAGUAUAAUUAUUUAACAAAUUUCUCGAGAAUUAUAAUUAGUUAUUGUUUUGAAAUGAAUAAUUAAAUUUAAAUGAAAAUAUAUUAUUGAAAUAAUACAAAUUGAUAGUGCACUUUUUUUUUCGAUCCCUCAAUUAUAAGAUCCAUAAUAUACUAUAGUGGUAAGCACAUCCUACAUCUUAACAUCAAAAACAUACUUAAUUACAAAGCAAUACUUAAAAAUUGAAAAACCUAUAUCUUUGGCAUCCUCAUGUCACUUUGUUAUUUUUUUUGAAAUGAUGCUUCUGAACGUUCUCUAUUUAGUCUCCGACUUUUACAUUCUUCAUCCUUGAAUUCUCAUCAAUUUUUCUGCAUCUUUUUAUUGGGUCAAUUGAUUGCUCCUAGGCAUCACAAAAAUAUGACGAAGCUAAGGUUUGUGGGCUUUUGUAGUCUUGACUCACAAAUCUUCAUUUAAACUUGUUAGAAGACUAAUUGAAAAAUGAUCAAUUCAAUUGUAUAUAUAGAAUAUAUUGAAUAUGGUGCAUGGAUUUGAAAAUCAACCUAGUUGAAUGUAGAUGAAAAUGUAUGAAACAUAAUAUUUUAUUGAUAAAAUAUAAAUUUUGGAUGAUAUAGUUUUUUUUAUAAUUUUUAUGGGUCUGUCUUCAAAAGUCAAGAUGGAUAUUUUAUUUGUUCAGCUCGUUUAAAGAAAGUUUGUGAAGAAUAUUCUAAUUAUGGGAAAAUUAUUUUAUUUGGUUCAUUUUAACAAAUAUUAUUUCCUUUUUGUGAAGAUUUGUUGUUGAGUUCAUAAUGUGCAUGUAUGGCCGUUAUUCAGUGUGCUUCAUUUGGUAAAAGAAUGGAGAGAAACGUGUGAUUGCGCAAGUGGAAGAAGACAGUUUUGUGAAGAAUGACUUCGUGAUUAAACAGUCAGUUAUUCAUAAGAAUUUGAAGUGUGUUUUUCUGUAAGAGUGAGAGAAACGUUGUUGCUGUAGAAGAAGAUAGUUUUGGGAAGAACGACUUUGUUAUUAAACAGCCAGUUAUUCAUAAGAACCAGAUGCAUGUAAGUCUUCUCUCAAUGGUGUGAUUUGUUGCUGAUACUUGUACCAGCUACUAUUUAGCAUGAGUUUACAACAUCUGAAAUUCAAGUUUAUGUAAUAUGAUGUUUUAAAAAGAACUUUUGUUUACGUCUUGAUGAAUGACGUGAUUCAGGGGGAGUUCCUCCAGUACACUACGUUAAUCAACUGAUUAAUGAGAAACUUGAUCAAGGGAGAAAUUUUGAUUAGUCAAAUCUAUCUGUGAAUAAGUUUAGUGAUAGAGUUACCUUAUGUAAUGAUGUAUCACUCAUAGUACUGAGUGAAGAUUAGUAGUGUCAAUCUUUGUACUAAAAAAUCAUAAUAAGUUGAAUCUCUGAUCUAGGGUCAAGGACCCCUCAGACGUAGAUGUUAUGUCAUCAAAUUUGGUUAAACAAUGUCUAGUGUUUCUACUUUCUCUACUUAUAUGCACUGUUAGUUGUUCUUACUGUUGGUGAUUCUAAGGUUUCAUCCAUAUUAUUUGUUGUUGUUGCUUUCACUGUUUAUCAGUUUUUGUUGAGUCUUUCCUAAAAUUGAAAAGUUAUGGGGGAGGCAAAAGAAAACUAAAAGAUUCAAUACGUUUAAAAUACAUUUGAGACUAAAUUAAAAUUAUAAUAUAAAAAAAUGACAUAAUUUCUCAAAUUUUAAUCUACUCAGAUUUUAUGGAUCGACUAGAAGAAUAACAAUUUAAAAGUUUGCAUUUUGAAAAAUAACAAAACCGCUUUUUUUUUUUCUUUAAAAAAUGACAAAACCAAAAAAAUACAAUAAAUAAGAAUUUGAAAAACCCAGAAUACCCCUAUAUACAUAGAGUGCGAGCUACUUUCUUAAGCUAAAAUAAAUAUAAUUACACUCUAAUAAAUAUUGAAACAUAAUUUACAACUACAUACUUGGCCAAUCAAAAUCCCCUCAUCUUCAUUUUCCAGGUCGGUUGCAAUGAUCUUUCAUUUUUCAUUUUUGCUUUUUGAUUCUCCAUCUUCCUAUGUCUCAAUUUUCCAUUUUUAUUUUUUGAUCCCAUCUUUUUCAAGCGGACAAACCCUAAUCUUUCCACCUUUAAGUGGGCAAACCCUAAUCUUUACCCUAGCUCCCUUUUGCAAAUAAACGUUUCAUUUGAAGUUUCAGAUCAUUUUCAACUUCAUCAUGCAUUUUCAAGAAGAAAAAUAUAAACAUUUGAAGUACGCAGACACUAUCUUCAUUUUCAAUCUUCCAUCUUCGAUCUUCAAGUCUACAACCUGCAAUCUCGAACACUUGGGUUGAAGAACAAAAUUCACUCGAAAGAACAAAAAUACAAAAGUUAUAUCUUCUUUGUCUCUUAGGGGAAAUUGUAGCUGGUUUUAUUAAAAAAAUUAUUUAUAUUAUUUAAUUAAUAAAAUGUAGAUAGAAUUUGAGAGAUUUUAUCUAAAAACACACUAUCUUAACCUAUUUUGUUGAGGAAAAAGUAAAAUAGUAAAUCAUUUUAAAAUAUUUUUUAAAAAUAUAAUUGAAAGGGACAAAAGAGAAGAAGACCAUGAUAAAUGCAAUACGAAACUAAGUAGUGAAUAAGAGGUAUUCCCUUUUUUAAAAAAUAAUUAUUUCAAAUGUACGACCAUAGUUAAGAGGAACAAGAGAUUAAAUUUGAUGUAGAAGAAAAUAAGGAAAACCAAUUAAUGAAGCGAUUGGCUAUGAGUUAAAAAGUUCAAUUUUAAAAACAAAUUAAGAUCUAAUUUUAAUUUUAAUUUUAAAAUUAAAAAUUCAAAUUUAAAAAAUAAAUUAAGAUCUAAUACAAAAUCUAAUUUUAAAUUUUAAAUUAUUAAUGGUCUAAAGAUUCAUAAUUGUUAUUUUGAAAUAAAAACAAGAGUUGAGAUUUAGCCCAUGAAAAUUAAUAAUAUGGUUAUUUUGAAAUUAAAAAAAUGAAUAAAAUUGUUAAAAUCUUCAACAAAAUUGUUAAGGAAGAGGUUAUGAUAGGCGUUGGAUACGUUAUUAACGUGUCAAAAUUAAUUAUAGACUCAUAAGUGCAUAUCAUAAAUUAAUUAAACUAGAGAGACUUCUGAUAAGAAUGCAAAUAUUAAAAUAAUUACAGUUCUCAUAUGUGAGUAUUUUAUUUCUUCAAUCAUAUAAACAUCCAAUCAUAGACGUUAAACCAAUAUUAAUAGAAAUUAUAAUUUAAUUAAUAUUAUUUCGUCAAAUAAAUAUGUUUUGGUUUAAAAGUCUUUCUAAAUACAAUUAAUGCAAUAACACGUUUUUAAUUUUAAUUCAUUUCCACCGUUGUAUAAUUAAUGGUACUAAACUAAUUAUAUAUGUACACAAAGCUAUAUUUUUUUAAUAAGUUAAUUUGAAUUUAAUAAGAAAUAUUGAGAAAUAAAUUAGAGAGUUCUUACCUAAACAACAAGCAUGAAAAAAGAAAAUUGACAAAAUAAUUUACAUUUAAACAACUGUUAUUAAUUAAAAUUACACAAACACACACCGAAACCGUUAUGAUUUGAUCAUUGCAAUGUAACUAUGAUGGAAGUUAUGAUAACGGUGAAAUGAAAGUUAUGAUAACAAUUGUUUUCAUCACAUCUACAUUGAACAAUACUCUUAUAAGUUUAGGGUUCAUGAUAGGAAAUUAGUUCAGUUGACAUGAUGAAGACAUAUUGACUAUUUUUAAAAUUUUCAAAUUUCAAAAAUAAAAUAAGAUCUAAUAUAAAAACUAGUUUUAAUUUUCUAAUUAUUGAGGAUUGAGAUUCAACAAAUUAAGGUUAUUUAGAAAUAAAAUUAAGGAUUGACACGAUGAAGACAUAUUGACUAUUUUUUUAAAUUCAAAUUUCAAAAAAUAAAAUAAGAUCUAAUAUGAAAACUAGUUUUAAUUUUCUAAUAAUUAUUAAGGGUUGAGAUUCAAUUAUUUUCAAAUAAAAUUAAAGGUCGAGAUUCCGCUAAUAAAAAAUAAUUAUUUGGUUAUUUUGAAAUUAGUAAAAUGGAAUAAAGUUAUUAAAAUCUUCAACCAAUUGAGAUAUUAGGAAGAUGUUAGGAUAGGUGCUGUUAUAUCUCCAAGGCAUCGAAAAUAUUUAUAGACUCAUAAAUGCAUAAUACAAAUUAAUUGCAAAUUAAAAAAUAAAUAAAAAGUAAAUUACUGAAAAUAAGUAAAUCUACUAAGAAGAAUGACAAAAUUGGAAACCAAAAGUUUUUCCACAUCCAUACAUUUAUAUAUUAUAUAUAUUAUAUACUAGUCUUUCAACACGUGCAUUGCACAUGACUUUUUUAAUAGUCAUUUUAACUUAUUAAAUGAAUAUAAAAAAAAUAUGAAGUCAAUAAAAAAUCACAUAUAACAAAAUUUAACAAAUUUAAUUUUAAAAAGAUACAUCAUUUAAAUAUAUAUAUACAUAUAUAAAAGAUACACAUUACAACUGCUAUCAUUAAAAGUUAUUUGAUAGUGAGUUUAUUGAAGAAAAAAUGUUUGAUAAAAAUGUCAGAAAAAAAGUGAAAAAUGAAGAGGGUUAAAAGUAAUUUUGUAUUAACGUUUUAAUGUUUAAUGUAUUCUAUAAAAUAUAAUGCAUUAAAAAUAAUAUUGCAAUCAAUAUUAAAUUCUUGAAUUAUAAUAAAACUUGUUUUUUCUUUAUUUUGCAAACAUAUUACUUUCAUUUUAAAUAUGUAUAUAUAUUUUUUAAGUUUAUAUCAUUUCUGAUUGAGAAAAAGAAUAUAUUCAUGAAAGAAAACGUGAAAACAUUUAUUAGAGGGAAGAGAUUAGUAUAUGCAUUUAAGAUAAUUUUUUUAAUCUACUUAUUUGAUGUUUAAAAUCAAAUUAAAAAUUAUUUUUUCAAAUAUAACCGUAUAUUAUUUAUUAAAGAACUUAUUUUAUAAUUUAUUUUAGGAAUGAAAAAAGAAAAGGAGAAAUUUAGUGCACUUAUCUAAUAUCUUAUAUCAUACCAAUUGAAUAAUUCUUUGUCAAGAAGAAAAAAUAAACAACAUUUUGUAGAAAAAUGUGAUUAUCUAUAUUCUAGAGCACACUAUAAAAUAAAUAACUAAUUUUAGAAAAAUGGUUGAGUUUUGGAAAAAAAUACACAUACAAGAUUUUUAUAGAAAAAGGUAGACAAUGGUGAUGUUUAUUUAAUUUUAAGAGUUAUGGUUAAAUGAUUGAAAUUUUCAAACUUUUCAAAUUUUAAAAUUUAUUAAAAUUUAUUGUAAAAUCAUAGAUUUGUUAUGACAUUUUAUUAUUUUUAAUGGAUUUGUUAUGACAAAAACCAAAAAGCUACUUUGAUAUUUCUACCUUUACAUUGUAUUACUUUUAACUAUAAUUAGUAAUUUGAUUUCAAUAAAAGUUACAUAAUUCAAUCCCAAUAAAAGUGUAUUAACCACCCUUCACCAUUUUAUUAAUAAAACAACUCUAAUAAAAAACAAAAAUUAAUUAAAUGAAAAAAAAAACAUAAACAAAGAAUGUAUUCUUUUAUAUUGUUCAGGUUUCUCCAUUGUUACAUUCUAAAAAAUAUAUAUCUUCAUGGUUACCUGACUCAAACAUAUUUUAUGAAAAAAAAUACACACAAACAUAUAUUUAGAUCACAUGUUUACAUUCUAACAAAAAAAUCUAAGAUUACACGAUUUAAACAUCCAUGAAAGAAUACAAACAGACAUAUUUAUAUAUAAAGGUAAAUAAAUACAACAAAGAUGAAAAAAUAAAAGAGAACAUAAGAAUGAUAAUUUGAUUUUUUUUAUUUACAUCUUAGAUUUUUGUUGUGACUUAUGAUCAGUUUGAAUGGAAGAAAAGAAUAAAUAUUUAUACUAAAAAUUUUCGAAGAGGAAGAAAUUAAAAGGUUGGAAGAUGAUAUAGAAAAGUUAAUAAGAGAGAAGAGAAUGUGAAUAAUUUAAAGAUAAAAGUUUAAGAGAAGAUGAAAAUAAUGGAUGUUGAAAAGAAAAGUUUUAAUAAGAGAAUUAAUUAAUUAGAGAGAAAAGUGAGAUUUUUUAGAUGUAGAGAAAAUUAUUUUCUUACAUUUAUGAAGAAACAAUAUUGGAACGAGAGAAUAAUAAAUAAAUUAAUUAAAUAACAUAAAAGAAAAAUAUAGACUAUCAUAAGAUUCAACAAUCAUAUUAAUAAAACAAUUUUAAAAAAUUAAUUUAAUUUAGCAAUUAACUACCUUAAUUUUUGUAUUUAAAUGACAAAAUUGUUAAAAUCUUCUACUUCCAAUGUUACUUAAGGAAAUAAGAAAAAAAAUAAAAGAAAAAAAUAAAGUACUAAAUAAUGUUGUCUUCUUCUUUAGUAUACAUAACUAUCUCGGUGAGUUAGGACCAAUGGGUGUCAAGAAAUUAAUUGCACAUUUGCACUUUUACCCUCACUUUAUAUGCACACGAUCUUCUUCAAAUGAGUUUCCAUCUUGACAUGUUAAAUAUUGAACUUUUGGAGAAAAAGUUGAGAGGGAAAGAAUAACAAACUAAUGAAAUAAAAUACUGAAUAAUGUUGAUAGAAAGAAAUUAAGGAAGGAAAGUUGAAGAAAUAUAAAUGGAAAACCAUUAGUACUCUUCCAUAAUUAAUUAUAUUAAAAAAAUAAAAAUGAAAAAGAUAUUUAAUUUAUAAAAGGUAAAUGAAAAACAAUUAAUCUUUUACAAUUAAUUAUAUUACAAAAAAAAAAUGAAUUUACCAUAAAACCAAAACGUGAAUUGAAACACAUUAAACUUAAGGGUAUAAUGGAAAGAAAAAAAAUUUAUUCACAUUGAGGCUUUUAUAUAUACUAUAGAUUAUUACUAGUCCUUAACACAUGUCAUAUUUACAUUUUAUGAUAACAACAUUUUCUUUGGACAACUUUUAUUUCAACUUUGUUUAAAAUUAAAUCAAUAAAUAAUUCCUAAAAAUGGAAUGCUACACUGAUUACUAGACAAUUCUAAUUUGUCAUCGUUAAAAAAAUGAAUUAAUUAUAUUACAUUAGUUUUCUAUACUAUAUUUUACAAACUUUUAUAAAAGAGAAUUGACAAUGGAAUAAAAAUACAAAUCAAGAGAAGUGACUAACCCAAAGUUUUCCUCUUAUACAAGUACAUAUAGAUAUUCUUAAACAAAUGACAAUUGAUGGGAUUUUUGUAACAAUUAUUUCAUAAAUCACUACCAAAUAACUAUCAUUUAAGAGUGUAUGCUUCUAUUAGUGGGUCUUGCUCUAUUGAUGUUUGUAUGAACCUUCAAAUAUGCUUCCACUUUUACUGAUACUGUGGAUUUACAUAUUAGACUAAAUCUAGAAACCUUUUAUCAAUUUGAUUAGUCUAGCCUUUGGUGGACAGAUCAAUUAGACACUCAAUAUUCAAUGAAGAUGUUCUAAAGUGUAAUUUUUAUAUAUCAACUUGAAACAUUGAUGAAAUGUAAAAGAUUUUCUAGAGAGAUAUAAUUUUAAAACAAACACAUCUUACCACAACUAAAAUAAAUAUAAAUUAAAAAGAGAAAAAGAAAAGAAAAGAAAAGGUUUGCCUUGAAACUAUAAGAUUAGAAUCAUGCAAUCAAAAAAAGAUAUUUUGUUUGGAAGCUAUCCAAUUUGUUUGCAAACUUGAGAUAAUAAACUUUGUUUGGGUUUCAAGUUACAAAUUUACAAUUACCAUAAUUAUCUAAUAAGGUAUUUAUAAGUCAUUUAGUUUCUUUUUCAAUUAGCAUAAUUUCAAAUAGAAAGAUUAAAGAGGACAAUGAAUUAUUGAUUAUUUUUAUUUUAAAAGUUGGAUGAAUUUUUUGGUUUUUUUAACUAGGUUCAUAAGUUACAAUUAACCUAAUAAAUUCAUAAAGUAUUUAUAAAAUCAUAUCAUUUAUUCUUCAAUUACUAUUAAAAUAGGAAAGUGAAAAGAUACCAUUGUUCCCCAUGCAAUAAUAGAAAAUAGUACAAUGGAAGGGAAAAAAUGUCCUAAAAAUUUUCUCUCAUCUAAGUUUUAUAUAUACCGUAGAUUAUUAUUACUUGUAACAACAUAUGAUAUGUCAAAUGUCAAGGUUUUAUUAAAAAUUUAAAACAACUUUUUUUCAAACAAAAUGUAUAACAUUUAUUUUUUUUUAUAUUUAUAUCCUACUCUUAUUGAGUUAAAAAAUAUCAUAGAAAUUGUGCUAGUAAAUUAUUUGUUUUGAUAUUAGAUAUUGUAAUAUACACCAUAAAUCAAACAUUUUAAAUGAUAUUUUUAAAUAUGUAUAUUGUAUUUUUCAUUAUGUUCUUAUUAAAUUAUAUUUUUUCAUAAAAUAUUCUAUAUAUAAUACAAAUACAAUAUUUUCUACGUAAUACAAAUACAAAGUAAAAUAGUAAAUUAUUAGAACAAUAAAUUUUUAAAUGAAAGAAAAGUUUGUUUGAAGUAUUUGUGUGUGCCUUUUUAGGUAUUGCUAAUCAUCUUUUUUAUACUAAUAACCCUAAGUUAUUAAUUAUCUAUUUUUUUAAAGACAACAUAUGAGUAUGAAAUACAAUUUUAAAAAAAAUUAGAUUCACCCAUUCAUCUAACUUGUACGUGACUUGAUGCUCCACUGAUGCGACCUCAAACAUUCUCAUAUUUCUUUAUCAUUGUUCAUCAUUACAAGCUUAAGACUUCAGAGAGUGAUAUUUUUCAAUUAGCAUAGUGAGCUUUAUAUAGUGAAUUAAAUUUGUAGAAUGAAAAGAGACCUCAUAUGUAAAUUUUUAUUUAUUUAUUAUUAGGUGUGAAGUGUCUAUUUAACGUAGUCAGUGGGUGGUUUUGUAAGAUAAUUUUUUUUAAUGAAAAUCCAUUUUUAAAAAAAUGAUUGAAAAUCUAAGAAGCUAAAAGAUUUUUGGAAUUAAAAAUAAUUAAUAUCUAAUGAACGUGUUUAGAUUUUAAUUGUUAAUUAAUAUGUGAUUUUACAAAUUUCGUUUGAAUUUUUAUUUAAAAUUGACAAAAUUUUGAUUAAUGUUAUACUUAUAAUUACUUAAAUGAAAUGGACAAAAUGAAAAUAGAAAGUUUCUAUGUAUAUAGGUAGUAUAGAUACGUGUGUGUGUAUAUAUAUAUUAUAGAAUAUCACAAUUCCAAGGUCAAAACUAAGGAUGAAAAUAUCUAUGUAUCUGUAAAUUGAAAGAUUCGACGUCGAUAUUAAAUAUCCACGAAUUUCUCCAUCUUUUAUAAAUGUUCGUAAGACAAAAAAAAAGUGUCAUCUAUUUAGUUCAAUAUAAAUAUAAAUACGUAUAACUUAAUUUAGAGUAAAAAAAGUAAUUAUUAAUUUAAAUAAAUUUUAUUGAGACUUAUUUGUGAAUAUAGAUAUUAUAUAUAUUUUAUAGAUAUAUUAAUCAAAUUGAAUUAUUGAUAUUGAUGUUAAGAUUGAUAUUUAAUGAUUGAUCUAUUGAAAUAGAAAUGAUAUAAAAGUAUGAUUGAUCUAUUGAAAUAGAAAUGAUAUAAAAGUAGCAAGUCUUAACCUUAUUUUCAGAUACAAUAAGAUGGAAUGUUAGAUUUUGUGUUUUGAUUGGGGGCUUAAUGCAAAUUAUCAGCCCCAAGAAAAGAAAGUAAAAUGAUAAAACAAAGAAAUCUGGAGUUGUACACAAACCUACAAACAUAUUUAUUUAUCAAUAUACACAAAUCAUGAAACUUGUAUACAAACAAAAACCAUGACUUUGACACAGCCCUCAUACACAGAAUGGGUAAGGUAAACACAAUACCAUGACUUGACUUUCAUAUGUUUAUUGGAUAGGUUUUAGACUUUGCCUAUACAUUAUUUCUUUUAAUACAAAC
rnacentral:lncRNA from 1 species